GAGUUUGAUCCUGGCUCAGGAUGAACGCUAGCGGCAGGCCUAACACAUGCAAGUCGAACGGUAACAGAGAAGAGCUUGCUCUUUUGCUGACGAGUGGCGCACGGGUGCGUAACGCGUAUACAACCUACCUUUUACAGGGGGAUAGCCUUUAGAAAUGAAGAUUAAUAUCCCAUAGUAAGUAAUCAUGGCAUCAUGAUUACUUUAAAGCUUCGGCGGUAGAAGAUGAGUAUGCGUUCUAUUAGCUAGAUGGUGUGGUAACGGCACACCAUGGCAACGAUAGAUAGGGGCCCUGAGAGGGGGAUCCCCCACACUGGUACUGAGACACGGACCAGACUCCUACGGGAGGCAGCAGUGAGGAAUAUUGGACAAUGGGCGAGAGCCUGAUCCAGCCAUGCCGCGUGCAGGAGGACUGCCCUAUGGGUUGUAAACUGCUUUUAUAUAGGAAGAAACCUUUCCACGUGUGGAAAGCUGACGGUACUAUAAGAAUAAGGAUCGGCUAACUCCGUGCCAGCAGCCGCGGUAAUACGGAGGAUCCAAGCGUUAUCCGGAAUCAUUGGGUUUAAAGGGUCCGUAGGUGGAUAAUUAAGUCAGAGGUGAAAGUUUGCAGCUCAACUGUAAAAUUGCCUUUGAUACUGGUUAUCUUGAAUUAUUGUGAAGUGGUUAGAAUAUGUAGUGUAGCGGUGAAAUGCAUAGAUAUUACAUAGAAUACCAAUUGCGAAGGCAGAUCACUAACAAUAUAUUGACACUGAUGGACGAAAGCGUGGGGAGCGAACAGGAUU
rnacentral:rRNA from 1 species